GGUAACAGGGUGCUUGCACCGCUGACGAGUGGCGAACGGGUGAGUAAUGCGUCGGAACGUGCCGAGUAGUGGGGGAUAACGCAGCGAAAGUUGUGCUAAUACCGCAUACGUACUGAGGUAGAAAGUGGGGGACCUUCGGGCCUCACGCUAUUCGAGCGGCCGACGUCUGAUUAGCUAGUAGGUGAGGUAAAGGCUCACCUAGGCGACGAUCAGUAGCGGGUCUGAGAGGAUGAUCCGCCACACUGGGACUGAGACACGGCCCAGACUCCUACGGGAGGCAGCAGUGGGGAAUUUUGGACAAUGGGCGAGAGCCUGAUCCAGCCAUGCCGCGUGUCUGAAGAAGGCCCUCGGGUUGUAAAGGACUUUUGUCAGGGAGGAAAUCCCUAGUGCUAAUAACACUGGGGGAUGACAGUACCUGAAGAAUAAGCACCGGCUAACUACGUGCCAGCAGCCGCGGUAACACGUAGGGUGCGAGCGUUAAUCGGAAUUACUGGGCGUAAAGCGUGCGCAGGCGGUUUGAUAAGCCAGAUGUGAAAUCCCCGAGCUCAACUUGGGAACUGAAAGGAAUUGACGGGGGCCCGCACAAGCGGUGGAUGAUGUGGAUUAAUUCGAUGCAACGCGAAGAACCUUACCUGCUCUUGACAUGUACGGAACUUGCCAGAGAUGGCUUGGUGCCCGAAAGGGAGCCGUAACACAGGUGCUGCAUGGCUGUCGUCAGCUCGUAUCGUGAGAUGUUGGGUUAAGUCCCGCAACGAGCGCAACCCUUGUCAUUAGUUGCCAUCAUUUAGUUGGGCACUCUAAUGAGACUGCCGGUGACAAACCGGAGGAAGGUGGGGAUGACGUCAAGUCCUCAUGGCCCUUAUGAGCAGGGCUUCACACGUCAUACAAUGGUCGGUACAGAGGGUUGCCAAACCGCGAGGUGGAGCUAAUCUCUUAAAGCCGAUCGUAGUCCGGAUUGGAGUCUGCAACUCGACUCCAUGAAGUCGGAAUCGCUAGUAAUCGCAGGUCAGCAUACUGCGGUGAAUACGUUCCCGGGCCUUGUACACACCGCCCGUCACACCAUGGGAGUGGAAUCCGCCAGAAGUGGGUAGGGUAACCGUAAGGAGCCCGCUUACCACGGUAGGUUUCAUGACUGAGGU
rnacentral:rRNA from 1 species